CAUAAAUACAGGUCAGCAGUAAACUUCAGCCACAGCCACUCCUUCUGGGGCCACCUGUGUGAGUUUACACUAAGCAAAGGAUUGUCCUCAUCUACCUUCACAACCCUCUGUUUGCCAUCACCUUGAAGUACAAGAUUGGUUUGUACUUGUGUAUGCAGGGACAUGCAUUAUUUUGCAGGAAUACUUCGUGUGCACAUAGGCCUGGACCCAUGAGUGUGUGUACGCGUGUCGAGGUCCAGUCAGGCCCCCAUGGGAAGGAACAUAUGGAAAGCAGCAUCACUCUAGAUCUGAGAAAAAUAUGAAUAAGAACAGGAUCUUUCCCAACCUGUAGAAAUAAAAUGCAGCCAUGUGGAUCCCAACAUAAAAACAAGUGUCAACAUGUCUGAAAUACUGUGCCUGUCAUAAAUGAAGCUCACAAGCAAGUUUGUUUUUGUCUUCACGGCACAAAAGUUGCAGACGUUCAUAAAUGGGCUGACAGAAAAGUCAGCAAGGAGAGAAGCUGGCUAUCCUCUAAAUGAAUUAGGGUUGGUUGAUUUUCAUUUUAUUUAUUUACUUGAUUAUUUUAUCACACUGACAACCAAUAUCAGAUAUUUUUGAUUCCUCUUGCUUAGUUCUAGCUGAAUCUCUCAGAAGGAAAUAGUAGGAUUCCUGGUCUAACACACCAGUUGGACACACAGGUAUGAACAUCAUGGCAUUAGCAUGUCCUCUUCCUUUUCACAGACUUAAAAUUAUUUGACACGUCAAGUUAGAAAAUACCUUAAACCAAUCAGCACCUCCAUUUUUUUCAGUCACUGAGACUAUUUCCAAAAGCAGGGAGGUUUAGCCACAUAAUCCUGAAUUGAAAUAAGCCAAGUGACUUAAUUGCCUUGAAGACAGUGAGAACAUCCAACUGGAGUCUUUUCCCCACACCUUCCACAACUUCCUUGUAGUUUAUAUUAUGUUGUUGCAAAUAUGGCAAUAUUAAGUCCUUCUCAAAGAACCUUUUCAGCUUUCUUCUCUGUUGCACUACAUGAUCAACACCAAGCAUGCUGAACACACGCUUUAGUGAUUGCCACAGCAAUAAUUCAGAGAACCAGUUUUCCUUUCAAAAAACUUCAGAAUAGCAAAGGUUUGUGGAGGGAAGCUAUCAGGAUGCUGGAAAGCACUAACACAAUUUAUUAGACAAACCCUGUGUGGAUGCAAUGGCAGCUCUGCUAUCAAAGGCAAAAACCUUCAGGCAUUUUACAUCCCAUAAUCCCAAUGAAAGCCUGUUUUUGCAGAUACCCUGCAGUUUAUGAAUCACUGGCUGUAGUAUACAAAAUCCCUUAUUUAAGUAAUUAUGGUACAAUGCAUAAAUCUGCACGGUGGCUGACGUUAUAUAAAAAGUUCCAAGUCAGUUUCAAAACUACAACCGAAAUAAAAUAAAAACCCCAACUGGAAACAACUGCCUUGCAGUAAAUGCAUUUUGUGAGCUGGGGGCAUGCUCUGAUACAAUUAUAUUAGAUCUGUCCUGGAGACUGGAUGAGGUCUAGCAAUAUAGAAACCCAAGUGAAGCAUGGGCAGAGAAUGGCUCCUCUGCCCAAGUGAAAUCCAUUUGUUUUCACUUGGGCUUCAGUGCACAGUUUUGAAGUUGAACAUGGGAAGAUCUCAAACCUUAGCCGUGGCCUUAGCCAUGCAUUGCCCUAGUAAGGGGAUUGGCUUCUAUUUCUUCAGCAGAAUGAACCAAAAGCCUGGUAUUUCAGAAAAUUACCUAAUUUCUACCAGAUUAUAUGUAGGCCCUCUGUGUACUCUGUCCUGAUUUAUCUCCAUGCCUAGGUAGUUCAGCCUCUACGUUCAGACCUGGAAAAAAAUAGGCUUUCUUUCACAAAAAGCCAUUAUUUGCCCAACUUCAGCUUCAUCUACAGACUGCAUAUUUCACCAGAGCUUGUACCCUUCAGUUGGUACAUAGAUUAGACUUAAAGUGACAGACAGGUGGUAUUUGGCCAAGUCAGUUCCAGAUCAGACCAAGUGUCA